rnacentral:rRNA from 1 species
ACCGGCGCAGGGGUGCGUAACGCGUAUGCAACCUACCUAUCACAGGGGGAUAGCCCCGAGAAAUCGGGAUUAAUACCGCAUAAUACUACUUUAUUGCAUGAUAGAAUAGUUAAAGAGAUAUCGGUUAUAGAUGGGCAUGCGUAACAUUAGCUAGUUGGUAAGGUAAGGGCUUACCAAGGCGACGAUGUUUAGGGGUUCUGAGAGGAACAACCCCCACACUGGUACUGAGACACGGACCAGACUCCUACGGGAGGCAGCAGUGAGGAAUAUUGGUCAAUGGACGGAAGUCUGAGCCAGCCAUGCCGCGUGAAGGAAGACGGCCUUAUGGGUUGUAAACUUCUUUUAUAUGGGAAGAAUAAUAGAUACGCGUAUUUAUGUGACGGUACCAUAUGAAUAAGCAUCGGCUAACUCCGUGCCAGCAGCCGCGGUAAUACGGAGGAUGCGAGCGUUAUCCGGAUUUAUUGGGUAUAAAGGGUGCGUAGGCGGGUAUAUAAGUCAGGGGUGAAAUAUUUCAGCUCAACUGGAAAAGUGCCUUUGAUACUGUAUAUCUUGAGUAUAAUUGAGGUAGGCGGAAUGUAGUAUGUAGCGGUGAAAUGCAUAGAUAUACUACAGAACACCGAUAGCGUAGGCAGCUUACCAAGUUAUAACUGACGCUAAAGCACGAAAGCGUGGGGAGCGAACAGGAUUAGAUACCCUGGUAGUCCACGCCGUAAACUAUGAUCACUCGUUGUUGGCGAUACACAGUCAGUGACUAAGCAAACGCGAUAAGUGAUCCACCUGGGGAGUACGAUCGCAAGGUUGAAACUCAAAGGAAUUGACGGGGGCCCGCACAAGCGGAGGAGCAUGUGGUUUAAUUCGAUGAUACGCGAGGAACCUUACCUGGUCUUAAAUGUUGAAUGCAUAGGUUAGAGAUAGCCUUUUUCUACGGAACUGUCAACAAGGUGCUGCAUGGUUGUCGUCAGCUCGUGCCGUGAGGUGUCGGGUUAAGUCCCAUAACGAGCGCAACCCCUAUAUUUAGUUGCUAACAGGUUAAGCUGAGGACUCUAGAUAGACUGCCUACGCAAGUAGUGAGGAAGGUGGGGAUGACGUCAAAUCAGCACGGCCCUUAUGUCCAGGGCUACACACGUGCUACAAUGGUUGGUACAGAGGGCAGCGACUAUGCAAAUAGGAGCGAAUCUCCAAAUCCAAUCUCAGUCCGGAUUGGAGUCUGCAACUCGACUCCAUGAAGUUGGAUUCGCUAGUAAUCGCACAUCAGCCAUGGUGCGGUGAAUACGUUCCCGGGCCUUGUACACACCGCCCGUCAAGCCAUGGAAGCUGGGGGUACCUGAAGGCUGUGCCCGAUAAGGAGCGGUCUAAGGUAAAACUGGUAACUGGGGCUAAGUCGUAACAAGGUAGCC